CACAAUUUUCAAUGCCUGAAUGGGGGCACUGUGGGUUCYGAGUCUCUGACCUGCAAAUGACUGGUAGGAUAACUGCUGCUGGAACUACCCCAGGUUGUACGACCACGACACACCCUGAAGACAUCAUCUGAAGUCAAGAACUAUGUGGAGCAGUCAACAUCCAGCUUGAUGCACUGCCAAGGAUAGUGGAGAUUACUCAGCUCUGAGAGCCAGCCACCAGCACAGCAGUUCUGCCAGAUCCCCUGGUCUGUCUAAAAUAUCUACAAUUUAGAAUUACCAGGGAAGAUGGUCAUUAAGAUUGCUCAAAAUGAGAUCUGUGUUGGGUAACUUUUAAUUUUGCUAAGCUUAAACAAAUGAAAAUAAAAUUGA